rnacentral:rRNA from 1 species
UCGAGCGGAAACGAGUUAUCUUGAACCUUCGGGGAACGAUAACGGCGUCGAGCGGCGGACGGGUGAGUAAUGCCUAGGAAAUUGCCCUGAUGUGGGGGAUAACCAUUGGAAACGAUGGCUAAUACCGCAUGAUGCCUACGGGCCAAAGAGGGGGACCUUCGGGCCUCUCGCGUCAGGAUAUGCCUAGGUGGGAUUAGCUAGUUGGUGAGGUAAGGGCUCACCAAGGCGACGAUCCCUAGCUGGUCUGAGAGGAUGAUCAGCCACACUGGAACUGAGACACGGUCCAGACUCCUACGGGAGGCAGCAGUGGGGAAUAUUGCACAAUGGGCGCAAGCCUGAUGCAGCCAUGCCGCGUGUGUGAAGAAGGCCUUCGGGUUGUAAAGCACUUUCAGUCGUGAGGAAGGUAGUGUAGUUAAUAGCUGCAUUAUUUGACGUUACCUACACAAUAAGCACCGGCUAACUCCGUGCCAACAACCGCGGUAAUACGGAGGGUGCGAGCGUUAAUCGGAAUUACUGGGCGUAAAGCGCAUGCAGGUGGUUUGUUAAGUCAGAUGUGAAAGCCCGGGGCUCAACCUCGGAAUAGCAUUUGAAACUGGCAGACUAGAGUACUGUAGAGGGGGGUAGAAUUUCAGGUGUAGCGGUGAAAUGCGUAGAGAUCUGAAAGAAUACCGGGUGGCGAGGGCGGCCCCCUGGACAGAUACUGACACUCAGAUGCGAAGCGUGGGGGAGCAAACAGGGAUUAGAUACCCUGGUAGUCCACGCCGUAACGAUGUCUACUUGGGAGGUUGUGGCCUUGAGCCGUGGCUUUC